CGACGAGCGGACGGGUGAGUAAUGCCUAGGAAUCUGCCUGGUAGUGGGGGAUAACUGUCCGGAAACGGGCGCUAAUACCGCAUACGUCCUGAGGGAGAAAGUGGGGGAUCUUCGGACCUCACGCUAUCAGAUGAGCCUAGGUCGGAUUAGCUAGUUGGUGGGGUAAAGGCCUACCAAGGCGACGAUCCGUAACUGGUCUGAGAGGAUGAUCAGUCACACUGGAACUGAGACACGGUCCAGACUCCUACGGGAGGCAGCAGUGGGGAAUAUUGGACAAUGGGCGAAAGCCUGAUCCAGCCAUGCCGCGUGUGUGAAGAAGGUCUUCGGAUUGUAAAGCACUUUAAGUUGGGAGGAAGGGCAGUAAGUUAAUACCUUGCUGUUUUGACGUUACCAACAGAAUAAGCACCGGCUAACUUCGUGCCAGCAGCCGCGGUAAUACGAAGGGUGCAAGCGUUAAUCGGAAUUACUGGGCGUAAAGCGCGCGUAGGUGGUUCAGCAAGUUGGAUGUGAAAUCCCCGGGCUCAACCUGGGAACUGCAUCCAAACUACUGAGCUAGAGUACGGUAGAGGGUGGUGGAAUUUCCUGUGUAGCGGUGAAAUGCGUAGAUUAGGAGGAACACCAGUGGCGAAGGCGACCACCUGGACUGAUACUGACACUGAGGUGCGAAAGCGUGGGGAGCAACAGGAUUAGAUACCCUGGUAGUCCACGCCGUAGACGAUGUCGACUAGCCGUUGGGAUCCUUGAGAUCUUAGUGGCGCAGCUACGCGAUAGUCGACCGCCUGGGGAGUACGGCCGCAGGGUUAAACUCAAU
rnacentral:rRNA from 1 species